UACGGAGGGUGCAAGCGUUAUCCGGAUUCACUGGGUUUAAAGGGUGCGUAGGCGGAUAAGUAAGUCAGUGGUGAAAUCUCCGGGCUUAACUCGGAAACUGCCGUUGAUACUAUCAAUCUUGAAUACCGUGGAGGUCAGCGGAAUAUGUCAUGUAGCGGUGAAAUGCUUAGAGAUGACAUAGAACACCAAUUGCGAAGGCAGCUGGCUACGCGGAUAUUGACACUGAUGCACGAAAGCGUGGGGAUCAAACAGG
rnacentral:rRNA from 1 species